UUACAAGCGUAUAGCAGUCAUGCAGGCAAAACCGCAUGAAAAAUGUAAAGCGUUAUGUGGAUCGAACAUUAGUAGAGAAGCGUGUGAGCCAGCUGCCAAGAAAAGCCGCUAUUGUUUCAUAAGUACCCGUACCGUAAACCGACACAGGUGGAUGAGGAGAGAAUCCUAAGGCCGGCGGGAGAAGUGUUGUUAAGGAACUCGGCAAAUGACUCCGUAACUUCGGGAGAAGGAGUGCCACAGAGAUGUGGCCGCAGAGAAAUGGCCCAAGCAACUGUUUAGCAAAAACACAGGUCUAUGCAAAACCGAAAGGUGAGGUAUAUGGGCUGACGCCUGCCCGGUGCUGGAAGGUUAAGAGGAGAGGAUAGAGCAAUCGAAGCUUUGAAUUUAAGCCCCAGUAAACGGCGGCCGUAACAAUAACGGUCCUAAGGUAGCGAAAUUCCUUGUCGGGUAAGUUCCGACCCGCACGAAAGGCGUAAUGAUUUGGGCACUGUCUCAACAACACACCCGGUGAAAUUGAAAUACCAGUGAAGAUGCUGGUUACCUGCGCCAGGACGGAAAGACCCCAUGGAGCUUUACUCCAGUUUGAUACUGGGAUUCGGUACUGUCUGUACAGGAUAGGUGGGAGGCUAGGAAAUGGUGACGCCAGUUGCCAUGGAGCCAACCUUGGGAUACCACCCUUACAGUACUGGGUUUCUAACCUGCAGCCGUAACCCGGCUGGGGGACAAUGUCUGACGGGGAGUUUGACUGGGGCGGUCGCCUCCGAAAGAGUAUCGGAGGCGCUCAAAGGUUCCCUCAGAACGGUUGGAAACCGUUCGAAGAGUGCAAAGGCAGAAGGGAGCCUGACUGCGACACCGACGGGUGGAGCAGAUACGAAAGUAGGACUUAGUGAUCCGGUGGUAUAAAGUGGGAUUGCCAUCGCUCAACGGAUAAAAGCUACCCUGGGAUAACAGGCUUAUCACUCCCAAGAGUUCACAUCGACGGAGUGGUUUGGCACCUCGAUGUCGGCUCAUCGCAUCCUGGAGCUGUAGCAGGUUCCAAGGGUUGGGCUGUUCGCCCAUUAAAGCGGUACGCGAGCUGGGUUCAGAACGUCGUGAGACAGUUCGGUCCCUAUCCGGCGUGGGCGUAGGAUAUUUGAGAGGAGCUGUCCUUAGUACGAGAGGACCGGGAUGGACAAACCUCUGGUGUAUCUGUUGUUUUACCAAAGGCAUGGCAGAGUAGCCAAGUUUGGCAGGGAUAAACGCUGAAGGCAUCUAAGCGUGAAGCCCCCCUCAAGAUAAGAUAUCCCAUCUUCGGAGUAAGACCCCUUGAAGACUACAAGGUUGAUAGGCUUCAGGUGUAAGUGUGGUAACGCACUCAGCUGAGAAGUACUAAUAGGUCGAGGACUUAUGAA
rnacentral:rRNA from 1 species